GCCUACCAUGCAAGUCAAACGCUGAUACAAUACAGAGUGGCAGACGGGAUGAGUAACGCGAUGGGAACGUGCCCAUUCGGUUCGGAAUAACUCAGGGUAAACUUGAGCUAAUACCGGAUACGUGCGAGAGCAGAAAGAUUUAUCGCCGAAGGAUCGGCCCGCGUCCGAUUAGCUAGUUGGUGUGGUAAUGGCGCACCAAGGCGACGAUCGGUAGCUGGUCUGAGAGGAUGAUCAGCCACACUGGGACUGAGACACGGCCCAGACUCCUACGGGAGGCAGCAGUGGGGAAUAUUGGACAAUGGGCGCAAGCCUGAUCCAGCCAUGCCGCGUGAGUGAUGAAGGCCCUAGGGUUGUAAAGCUCUUUCGCCAGGGACGAUAAUGACGGUACCUGGAUAAGAAGCCCCGGCUAACUUCGUGCCAGCAGCCGCGGUAAUACUAAGGGGGCUAGCGUUGUUCGGAAUCACUGGGCGUAAAGCGCACGUAGGCGGAUCUUUAAGUCAGGGGUGAAAUCCCGAGGCUCAUCCUCAGAUCUGCCUUUGAUACUGGAGGUCUCGAGUCCGGGAGAGGUGAAUGUAACUUGCUAGUUGUCAGAGGGUGAAAAUUC
rnacentral:rRNA from 1 species